AUGUGCUUGUUUGUUGCAUUAAGAUUUGAAUGGCACAUGCAUAAGCAUAAGCAUAAGCGAUUAAUGGAAAAUUUUGAGAACCAGUAUAGUGCUGUUCCUGUAAGCAACCAUGUUGUUGUGGAUCCAAUUCAGAAGGAAAUUAUGGAUUCAACACAACUCGUAGGAGAUACAACCACUGCUACUACUACCGACACCGGGGAGAAGAAACACCUUCACAAGAGCAAGAAAGGAAUAAUUGAUAAGAUUAAGGAGAAGCUAACACACCGUCAUGAUCAUCAUAAAUAA